rnacentral:rRNA from 1 species
UACGGAGGAUGCAAGCGUUAUCCGGAUUUAUUGGGUUUAAAGGGUGCGUAGGCGGACUGGUAAGUCAGUGGUGAAAUGUCUCAGCUUAACUGAGGACCUGCCAUUGAUACUGCCAAUCUUGAGUAUAAUUGAUGUGGAUGGAAUGUGUCAUGUAGCGGUGAAAUGCUUAGAUAUGACACAGAACACCGAUAGCGAAGGCAGUCCACAAAACUAUAACUGACGCUGAGGCACGAAAGCGUGGGGAGCAAACAGGAUUAGAUACCCUGGUAGUCCACGCCGUAAACGAUGAUAACUCGAUGUGUGCGAUAUACAGUACGCGUCUAAGCGAAAGUGAUAAGUUAUCCACCUGGGGAGUACGUCCGCAAGGAUGAA